UACGUAGGGUGCGAGCGUUAAUCGGAAUUACUGGGCGUAAAGCGUGCGCAGGCGGUUCGUUGUGUCGGCGGUGAAAGCCCCGGGCUCAACCUGGGAAUUGCGAUGAAGACUGCAAGGCUUGAAUCUGGCAGAGGGGGGGUAGAAUUCCACGUGUAGCAGUGAAAUGCGUAGAGAUGUGGAGGAACACCGAUGGCGAAGGCAGCCCCCUGGGUCAAGAUUGACGCUCAUGCACGAAAGCGUGGGGAGCAAACAGG
rnacentral:rRNA from 1 species